AGAAGGGAUGAGAAGUUGUGCACAGAUCGCUCUUGUUCAGAUGACCACAGUGAAGCACGUCCCAAGAACAGCGUUGACUUGCAGCCUGUGCUUCUCAGGCUGGUAACAUAACCUUAACAGCAACCUUGCUGUCCACAACCAACAGUGAAGAGAAAUGCCAAGAGAGUCCUGUUAGGAUUGGAGGACAACAAAGACAGGAACAUGAACUGCUCUUCAGAUGGCGCCAUUUAAAUCUGGAGAAUGUUAACAUUCCUGCUGCAUGACAAAGGUCCACCACCCCCUGUGUUGAUACUCAUCCUGCUCAGAGGCAAUAACAUCUAAGGAUGAACAGAGGCCAUGGCACCAAAUCCUGCUUGAAGGCUACUUUCACAGAUUUAUCUUGGGAUUUUCUAGCAUUCUAUGUCGGGGGCAGUUUGCCCUUCAGGGCUUGGCUGCAUGGCUCUCGCUGUUUGCAGGGCUCCAGCUGUUUCAUUAAUGUUUAGAUGUAUGGGGCAGGAAAGUGCCUGCCCCAAAAGGUAUAAAAAUGAAAGUUUCAGCACUGUUUAACAACCACCAUUGUAGCCAGGUGGCGUUGAAGGUGAAAAACCACAAACAGUUUGUAUGGACGAACCCACC